rnacentral:lncRNA from 1 species
ACUCUGGGCUAGAUAGAUGGUGCUGAAGACCUUUCCCAGCUGAGGCUCUUCGAAGCAGCUCCUCAGCAGAGAAGAGGAAGACAGGAAAGCAAAAGCGUGUCUACCCUGUUCUGUCCCAUGCUGCACUGUCAAGGACAAAGGUGUAAAAAGACAACACCUUCUGUGGACUAUGCAGUGUAUCAGGGAGGCACUGGGACAAAAUGGGGAUUUGCUGGAGAGCUUGAUGUACAAACUCCAUCCUCAAGAGAACUCCAACUCCAUCUAAUUUGUGCCUACAGAAUUACUGAGCGAUUGGUUGGCUGAGAUGGCCACUCCAGGUGCCACUGCAUUUCCUCCAGACCCCUUAAGAAUCCUGUUCUGCAUUGGAAUGAGGAUAGAAAGUCUCUGGAGCUUAUAUGCUACCAUUUCCCCUUUGGGCAUCAACAUGGAGAUGGAGGAAGUGUGUGGCUUUUCCAGCCGAAGCACCCUGGAGGGUCAACUCAAAGCUGGACACCCCAUGGUUUCUCCUGGCCAUACCCAUCCGCAGCCUGCCAUGCAGGAGGCUGGGGCUGGGAUGGGGCAAAUUUUCUUACAGGACUGGUGACUGGGGGAUGGGGCAAUGCACAACUGACACAGGGAAAGGCUGAACAUAGGAGGAAUGGGAUUCCAUCAGAGCAAUUUGCCCAGCUUUUUUCUUUAUUUCCUUAUACAUUUUUAAAGCAUAUGUAUUGCUAGUAAAAGUGCUGGCUGGACAAAGCUCA